UACGUAGGGUGCAAGCGUUGUCCGGAAUUAUUGGGCGUAAAGAGCUCGUAGGCGGUCUGUCGCGUCUGCUGUGAAAUCCCGAGGCUCAACCUCGGGCCUGCAGUGGGUACGGGCAGACUAGAGUGCGGUAGGGGAGACUGGAAUUCCUGGUGUAGCGGUGAAAUGCGCAGAUAUCAGGAGGAACACCGAUGGCGAAGGCAGGUCUCUGGGCCACUACUGACGCUGAGAAGCGAAAGCAUGGGGGAGCGAACAGG
rnacentral:rRNA from 1 species